AUUGAACGCUGGCGGCAUGCUUUACACAUGCAAGUCGAACGGCAGCGCGGGCUUCGGCCUGGCGGCGAGUGGCGAACGGGUGAGUAAUACAUCGGAACGUGCCCAGUAGUGGGGGAUAGCUCGGCGAAAGCCGGAUUAAUACCGCAUACGACCUGAGGGUGAAAGCGGGGGAUCUUCGGACCUCGCGCUAUUGGAGCGGCCGAUGGCAGAUUAGCUAGUUGGUGGGAUAAAGGCCUACCAAGGCGACGAUCUGUAGCUGGUCUGAGAGGACGACCAGCCACACUGGGACUGAGACACGGCCCAGACUCCUACGGGAGGCAGCAGUGGGGAAUUUUGGACAAUGGGCGAAAGCCUGAUCCAGCAAUGCCGCGUGUGUGAUGAAGGCCUUCGGGUUGUAAAGCACUUUUGGCGGGAACGAAAAGGACUGUGCCAAUACCACGGUUCGAUGACGGUACCCGCAGAAUAAGCACCGGCUAACUACGUG
rnacentral:rRNA from 1 species